UACGGAGGGUGCAAGCGUUAUCCGGAUUUACUGGGUUUAAAGGGUGUGUAGGCGGGCAAUUAAGUCAGUGGUGAAAUCUCCGGGCUCAACCCGGAAACUGCCGUUGAUACUAUUUGUCUUGAAUAUCGUUGAGGUAGGCGGAAUAUGUCAUGUAGCGGUGAAAUGCUUAGAGAUGACAUAGAACACCGAUUGCGAAGGCAGCUUACUAAACGAUCAUUGACGCUGAGGCACGAAAGCGUGGGGAUCAAACAGG
rnacentral:misc_RNA from 1 species